rnacentral:rRNA from 1 species
UACAGAGGGUGCAAGCGUUAAUCGGAAUUACUGGGCGUAAAGCGUGCGCAGGCGGCUUUGCAAGACAGAUGUGAAAUCCCCGGGCUCAACCUGGGAACUACAUUUGUGACUGCAAGGCUAGAGUACGGCAGAGGGGGAUGGAAUUCCGCGUGUAGCAGUGAAAUGCGUAGAUAUGCGGAGGAACACCAAUGGCGAAGGCAAUCCCCUGGGCCUGUACUGACGCUCAUGCACGAAAGCGUGGGGAGCAAACAGG